GGCCCAAUGUGGGGAGCCUGGGCUAGGUGGCCGCUCUGUGGUGGGCUUUGCAGCUCCCCCUCAGAUGCUGAAGCACCCAAGGGGACACUGAGCUGCUGCGGGAUUUGGAGCCGCUCCCAUCGCCUGUGAGCUGGAGGACCCACAGCGAUGCCUUGAGUUGUUUGGCUUCUGCAGAGCUACAGUUUUUUUGGCAUCCAAGAGAGAAGAGAUGUCAGACAGCUGAUACCAGUCCUGAGCAGAGGUGCCACCUGACUCAUCACUGAAUGCCAAAGCAAGCCCCUGUGUUUUACUUAACAUUGGUGAAUUUAUACUUAUUUCCAAUCCAACCUUGUGACAGGCUAUGGAGAAGGAUCCUCAGAGACCAUAUUACUGAUUCUGCAAGUCAUGGUUAUAGAUUUUUUUUUUACCCCUGAACAGUUAUCUAAAAGAUCCUAUGUUUUGCUUUUUCCCAAUUAUUUCUGUAAUUUAAUUAUAUCUGCUCUGAUGACCCUGAAGGACAGGAGAUAUGCCUGAACAGGAUACUGAUGGGGUCCAACUGUAUUAUGUUUUAGGAAGCUUGAAAAAUAGGUGUUUCUGAUUUAAGUUAGGUGAAAUGUAAGAGAACUCUCUCUACAGUGACAUUAUCUGCUAAGUGACAACUUCUCAGCUCUGUGUGCCUAUCUGAUUUUUCUCACUGUCUUUCUUCGAAUAGGAAAGAGAUUAGACGAAUGUUUCCUCUUUGAAAGAAACAGACCUUGUUAAUUAAAAAUGUACUUAAGUGGAAUAAGUUGCCAAGUGAAUUAAAAAACCACACCCACAUUUUACAGAGUAGAUGUAACUACCAUAUGCUUUAUUUACAAGUACACACAGACAAAAACAAGACAAUACAAUUAAUAGGGGGAAAAUAUGCAUAGCACAUUGAAAUUCUUCUCUUUAGUUGUGCAGUUUAACGCUAUAGAAAUUACAACCAGCAGAAUUAGUUUUCACUAACAUUUAAGGAUAGCUCCUGUUUAUUUGGUCAAAUAAUAAAAGAUAUCCUCAUGGAAUUUGGUAAUUGGCA
rnacentral:lncRNA from 1 species